UAUGAGGUAUUUCCAGCGUUGGCUGCACUACAUUUGGUGGUGCAUGAAGAUAAUGCCUACAUCCCUCGUUUACUACAUUGGAGGAGCAAUAGUUCGCCGCGUUUUUAUGAGCUAAUGAGCCAAGUAUUCGAGAACCGUGAGGUUAGUUAAGUUUGUAAUGAUAAUGUUAGGCAUAUGAAAAUAUAAUAUAAUAAGUUUACUUAUAUGUAUAUUGUAUGUGUAAAUUGCAGGUUGAUGUGCAACUUCUCCG
rnacentral:lncRNA from 1 species